GUCUACGGCCAUACCACCCUGAACGUGCCCGAUCUCGUCUGAUCUCGGAAGCUAAGCAGGGUCGGGCCUGGUUAGUACUUGGAUGGGAGAAAGGCAACUGAAAAAG
rnacentral:rRNA from 1 species